rnacentral:SRP_RNA from 1 species
GCCAGGCGCAGUGGCACGUGCCUGUAGUCCCAGCUACUUGGGAGGCUGAGGUGGGGGAUCUCUAGAGCCCAGGAGUUCUGGGCUGUGGUGUGCUAUGCCGAUCAGGUGUCCGCAUUAAGUUCGGCAUCAAUAUGGUGACCUCCCGGGAGUGGGGGACCACCAGGUUGCCUAAGGAGGGGUGAACCAGUCCAGGUCAGAAACGGAGGAGGUCAAAACUCCCGUGCUGAUCAGUAGUGGGAUCGCGCCUGUGAACAGCCACUGCACUCCAGCCUGGGUAACAUAGUGAGACCCCGUCUCU